UGGGGAAUAUUGCACAAUGGGCGAAAGCCUGAUGCAGCAACGCCGCGUGAAGGAUGAAGUAUUUCGGUAUGUAAACUUCUAUCAGCAGGGAAGAUAACGACGGUACCUGACUAAGAAGCCCCGGCUAACUACGUGCCAGCAGCCGCGGUAAUACGUAGGGGGCAAGCGUUAUCCGGAUUUACUGGGUGUAAAGGGAGCGCAGGCGGCAGCGCAAGUCAGAAGUGAAAGCCCGGGGCUUAACUCCGGGACUGCUUUUGAAACUGUGCGGCUAGAUUUCAGGAGAGGUAAGCGGAAUUCCUAGUGUAGCGGUGAAAUGCGUAGAUAUUAGGAGGAACACCAGUGGCGAAGGCGGCUUACUGGACUGAUAAUGACGCUGAGGCUCGAAAGCGUGGGGAGCAAA
rnacentral:rRNA from 1 species